rnacentral:rRNA from 1 species
GAUGAACGCUAGCUACAGGCUUAACACAUGCAAGUCGAGGGGUAACGAGAGGAAAGCUUGCUUUCCUUGUCGACGACCGGCGCACGGGUGAGUAACGCGUAUCCAACCUGCCCCCAACUAGGGAAUAACCUUGCGAAGGUAAGACUAAUACCCUAUAAUUUCCUCAGAUGACAUCUGACGAGGAAUAAAGAUUUAUCGGUUGUGGAUGGGGAUGCGUCUGAUUAGCUUGUUGGCGGGGUAACGGCCCACCAAGGCAACGAUCAGUAGGGGUUCUGACAGGAAGGUCCCCCACAUUGGAAAUGAGACACGGUCCAAACUCCUACGGGAGGCAGCAGUGAGGAAUAUUGGUCAAUGGGCGGAAGCCUGAACCAGCCAAGUAGCGUGCAGGAUGACGGCCCUAUGGGUUGUAAACUGCUUUUAUACAGGAAUAAAGUUAGCCACGUGUGGUUAUUUGUAGGUACUGUAUGAAUAAGGACCGGCUAAUUCCGUGCCAGCAGCCGCAGUAA